AGGACCUUGGGACUCAGAAAGGAUAAGGGACCUGAACUACCACACAUAUAAGGAAGCAGUAAAGUCACAUAGCAUAGCUGAUAAAGUCUACACUGACAUCCAAGGUGCCUUCAGGACUUGCAAGCCAGCUCCACCUUGCAUGUAUGGCUGGAAUAUAUGGGAAAGUAGAGAGAGAAAACCUCAAGCUAUAGGAAUGGCCUCAAUCUAGAUGUCCAGAGGCCUAGGCUCUAGUCUGGGCUUAGCAAGUCAACUAACCACUGUGAGAAUGCAUGUUGUAUGGAUGUCAUCUUAUCCUCCAGCUGCCCAAGAAGGGGCCGGUGGGCAGGGUCCACCCACAGCAGCUUCUUGACUCCUGCAACUCUGAGCAUUUCCCCAGCUCACACCAAGGGAGGCCAGGCCAGGCAUCUGGAAAAUCCAAGGUUUUUUCCAAGCAGCUCUCUACUGCCUGAUGAUUCCCUCCAACGCCGGGGACUGGACCCAUUUCUUUUCCCAUCUUACUUUUUGGACUCGUCUCCUUCGACUUCUUGGUCUGACUUUGACAUUCUUUGUUUUUUCAAACUUCUUUUUUGUUUUAAAUUUCUAAGGUAAUACCUGCUUGUGGUUAAAUAAUAAUAACA